GAACCUAACCCUGAGUUUUACUUUUUUUCUGGGCAAGGGGAAGAAUCCAUGUAAGCACCUGUUCUUCUAGAUAAUCCAGCCAGGACUUCAAGCCUUCUGACAGAUUGUGUCCCUUACAGUACUAUGGUGCCAGCCAGUCUCCACAUUCUGACAUCCCAGCUGAUUGGAGCUCAGAGUAGUUGCCUAGAUCCACAUGCCAGUUGCUAUGAUUAGUGCCUUGCUCUUUGUCUUGAAUGUAUCCCAUGUGGUUUAGGCCAACUGGAACUCUCAGUGGUUGCCAUGGAAUGGAACCAGAGUGGGCUUACCAUGAAGAUUCCCAGUCAAGUGUGUAGAUUGAAUGUUCACCUGCAUCCCCUCCUUUCACCUUACAAACUGUGGAUCUAGGAAAAUUUUCCAUAGUAGGAGGAAUAUUAAUUUCUCAAGGUCAUUCAAGGAGUUAGAGGCUGAAGUUGGAAUAUCAUAAAAGAUUUCUAACUCAAGUCAUCUGAUAAACAUCACCAUGGGUUUCCAAAGUGUUUGGCAAAGAACAUUAAAAUGUCAGAAGAAAUCAUAAUUGAAAAAAGAAGUAUACCAAUGGGAAGUCAAAGAAAGCAACUUUGAAAGUUUUAAUUUGUAAAGCUUAAAAAUAUUCCUAUCUCCGUAUUCCCCACUUGCAUCCCAAUUGUUCCAUAAUUCAAAAUAAUAAAAAGAGAAAAUACAAAUCACAAAUUUCACUUAUUCUAAAUACCGUAUUUCUAAAUAAAAUACCAUUGAUAACAAGAAAAUUUGUUCUUUCAUAACCAUGAGAGAAGAGGUAUUUUUACUAUUGGAAGUCUUGGAAGUAAAUAUGCAAACCAACUUUUUUUUUUUUCAAUUUGGAAUUACAUAAUCAUGGCAUUUUAAAACAAGAAUAAAGCUAAAUAUAAAAGGUAAAAUUAUAAAUUUUAGUUGUAGAAUCCAAAAGGAUUAUGCACUUAUGAAUAGCUGAUAUCGAUACCUA
rnacentral:lncRNA from 1 species